GACGAACGCUGGCGGCGUGCUUAACACAUGCAAGUCGAACGGAAAGGCCUCUUUCGGGGGGUACUCGAGUGGCGAACGGGUGAGUAACACGUGAGUAACCUGCCCUUGACUUUGGGAUAACUUCAGGAAACUGGGGCUAAUACCGGAUAGGAGCUCCUGCUGCAUGGUGGGGGUUGGAAAGUUUCGGCGGUUGGGGAUGGACUCGCGGCUUAUCAGCUUGUUGGUGGGGUAGUGGCUUACCAAGGCUUUGACGGGUAGCCGGCCUGAGAGGGUGACCGGCCACAUUGGGACUGAGAUACGGCCCAGACUCCUACGGGAGGCAGCAGUGGGGAAUAUUGCACAAUGGGUGGAAGCCUGAUGCAGCAACGCCGUGUGCGGGAUGACGGCCUUCGGGUUGUAAACCGCUUUCGCUCAUGACGAAGCCUUGCGUGACGGUAGUGGGUAAAGAAGCACCGGCUAACUACGU
rnacentral:rRNA from 1 species